CCUACGGGUGGCAGCAGUGGGGAAUAUUGCACAAUGGGCGCAAGCCUGACCCAGCCACGCCGCGUGAAUGAAGAAGGCCCUCGGGUUGUAAACUUCUUUUAUUCGGGACGAAGCAAAUGACGGUACCGAAUGAAGAAACCACGGCUACCUGCGUGCCAGCAGCCGCGGUAAUACGUAGGUGGCAAGCGUUAUCCGGGUUUACUGGGUGUAAAGCGCGGGUAGGCGGGGGAGAAAGUCAGAGGUGAAAUUCCCGGGCUCAACCCUGGAACUGCGUCUGAUACUGUUCUGCUUGAGUGCUGGAGAGGCAGGUGGAAUUCCGGGUGUAGCGGUGAAAUGCGUAGAGAUCCGGAGGAAUACCAGUGGCGAAGGCGGCCCCCUGGACAUUAACUGACGCUGAGGUGCGAAAGCGUGGGGAGCAAACAGGAUUAGAUACCCCUGUAGUC
rnacentral:rRNA from 1 species